rnacentral:tRNA from 5 species
GGGGCGUUAGCUCAGUUGGUAGAGCAUCUGCAUGGCAUGCAGAGGGUCAGCGGUUCGAAUCCGCUACGCUCCACCA